GAUGAACGCUGGCGGCGUGCCUAAUACAUGCAAGUCGAGCGAACGGACGAGAAGCUUGCUUCUCUGAUGUUAGCGGCGGACGGGUGAGUAACACGUGGAUAACCUACCUAUAAGACUGGGAUAACUUCGGGAAACCGUAGCUAAUACCGGAUAAUAUUUUGAACCGCAUGGUUCAAAAGUGAAAGACGGUCUUGCUGUCACUUAUAGAUGGAUCCGCGCUGCAUUAGCUAGUUGGUAAGGUAACGGCUUACCAAGGCAACGAUGCAUAGCCGACCUGAGAGGGUGAUCGGCCACACUGGAACGGAGACACGGUCCAGACUCCUACGGGAGGCAGCAGUAGGGAAUCUACCGCAAUGGGCGAAAGCCUGACGGAGCAACGCCGCGUGAGUGAUGAAGGUCUUCGGAUCGUAAAACUCUGUUAUUAGGGAAGAACAUAUGUGUAAGUAACUGUGCACAUCUUGACGGUACCUAAUCAGAAAGCCACGGCUAA
rnacentral:rRNA from 1 species